rnacentral:rRNA from 1 species
AUUGAACGCUGGCGGCAUGCCUUACACAUGCAAGUCGAACGGCAGCACGGGUGCUUGCACCUGGUGGCGAGUGGCGAACGGGUGAGUAAUACAUGGGAACGUACCUUAUCGUGGGGGAUAACGCAGCGAAAGCUGUGCUAAUACCGCAUACGCCCUGAGGGGGAAAGCGGGGGAUCGAAAGACCUCGCGCGAUUAGAGCGGCCGAUGCCUGAUUAGCUUGUUGGUGAGGUAAAAGCUCACCAAGGCGAUGAUCAGUAGCUGGUCUGAGAGGACGAUCAGCCACACUGGGACUGAGACACGGCCCAGACUCCUACGGGAGGCAGCAGUGGGGAAUUUUGGACAAAGGGGGCAACCCUGAUCCAGCAAUGCCGCGUGAGUGAAGAAGGCCUUCGGGUUGUAAAGCUCUUUUGUCAGGGAAGAAACAGCAGCUCUAGCACAGUCUGCGAAUGACGGUACCUGAAGAAUAAGCACCGGCUAACUACGUGCCAGCCGCCGCGGUAA